UACGAAGGGGGCUAGCGUUGUUCGGAAUUACUGGGCGUAAAGCGCACGUAGGCGGACUAUUAAGUCAGGGGUGAAAUCCUGGAGCUCAACUCCAGAACUGCCUUUGAUACUGGGAGUCUUGAGUUCGGGAGAGGUGAGUGGAACUGCGAGUGUAGAGGUGAAAUUCGUAGAUAUUCGCAAGAACACCAGUGGCGAAGGCGGCUCACUGGCCCGAUACUGACGCUGAGGUGCGAAAGCGUGGGGAGCAAACAGG
rnacentral:rRNA from 1 species